rnacentral:tRNA from 1 species
UUUAGGGAGACCUACCCUUGAUAACUCCGAACCAUUGUUAUUAGGAGUAUCGAGCGGUCACUCUAGGUCGGUCAGGACUUUGAGUCGAGUUUCUAGACUAUGGUUGAGGUUUUGUUUAACCAACAGAACCCGGGCUAUUAGCUCAGGUGGUUAGAGCGCACCCCUGAUAAGGGUGAGGUCCCUGGUUCGAGUCCAGGAUGGCCCACUGCGUGGGGGUUUAGCUCAGUUGGUAGAGCGCCUGCUUUGCAAGCAGGAUGUCAGCGGUUCGAGUCCGCUAACCUCCACCACGAAAGGACGGAUUGAAUUCAGCACAGUAUGUGUUUCUUGAAUUAUCAAGAGGAUACAUAGUCUGCUGGGUGAGAGCCCGGCUAAGAACCUUGACAACUGAAUAGUGAGAGAAGUGUAAGGUAGUACACACAGAACAUUCAAAGUUCGUUGAGAGAAGAGUGAAUUUUGUUGGGUAACACCAAUGAAAGGAAGGUCAAGCUA